rnacentral:rRNA from 1 species
UACAGAGGAUGCAAGCGUUAUCCGGAAUGAUUGGGCGUAAAGCGUCUGUAGGUGGCUUUUUAAGUCCGCCGUCAAAUCCCAGGGCUCAACUCUGGACAGGCGGUGGAAACUACCAAGCUGGAGUACGGUAGGGGCAGAGGGAAUUUCCGGUGGAGCGGUGAAAUGCGUAGAUAUUGGGAGGAAUACCAGUGGCGAAGGCGGCUCCCUGGACCGGUACUGACGCUGAGGGGCGAAAGCGUGGGGAGCGAACGGG